UGACGGGAGCUUGCUCCUUGAUUCAGCGGCGGACGGGUGAGUAAUGCCUAGGAAUCUGCCUGGUAGUGGGGGACAACGUUUCGAAAGGAACGCUAAUACCGCAUACGUCCUACGGGAGAAAGCAGGGGACCUUCGGGCCUUGCGCUAUCAGAUGAGCCUAGGUCGGAUUAGCUAGUUGGUGGGGUAAUGGCUCACCAAGGCGACGAUCCGUAACUGGUCUGAGAGGAUGAUCAGUCACACUGGAACUGAGACACGGUCCAGACUCCUACGGGAGGCAGCAGUGGGGAAUAUUGGACAAUGGGCGAAAGCCUGAUCCAGCCAUGCCGCGUGUGUGAAGAAGGUCUUCGGAUUGUAAAGCACUUUAAGUUGGGAGGAAGGGCAGUAAGUUAAUACCUUGCUGUUUUGACGUUACCGACAGAAUAAGCACCGGCUAACUCUGUGCCAGCAGCCGCGGUAAUACAGAGGGUGCAAGCGUUAAUCGGAAUUACUGGGCGUAAAGCGCGCGUAGGUGGUUCGUUAAGUUGGAUGUGAAAGCCCCGGGCUCAACCUGGGAACUGCAUCCAAAACUGGCGAGCUAGAGUACGGUAGAGGGUGGUGGAAUUUCCUGU
rnacentral:rRNA from 1 species